rnacentral:rRNA from 1 species
CGUCGUGAGACAGUUCGGUCCCUAUCCGUCGCGGGCGCAGGAAAUUUGAGAGGAGCUGUCCUUAGUACGAGAGGACCGGGAUGGACGUUCCGCUGGUGUACCAGUUGUGCCGCCAGGCGCAUCGCUGGGUAGCUAUGAACGGAAGGGAUAAACGCUGAAAGCAUCUAAGUGUGAAGCCCCCCUCGAGAUGAGAUUUCCCAUUCCUAUAUGGAAGUAAGACCCCUGAA